UAAUCCUCUCAACAUAACCACAAGAGCCUGAUCACAAGUUUCCACUUCAUGACUUAUCAAUGUUAUUGGAAAUUCUGAGUCUAAAUCUGUGAAUUCAUGAAAUGUAUCGUCCUGAGAAGUAUAAGACACUUAUUGUUCAGAGAAAUUUCAUCAACAACUAUGGACAUGAGCUCGUGCUCAUUAUUCAAUACAGAACUUUUUAUUUUCAGCAUAUCCAAUAUAUUUUCAUUAAUACCUGGUGAAAUAUGGAGUUUUUCCAGCUAUCGCCUCAAUAAUCUUACUGUGAAGCGCCCAAGACCGAUAGGUGAAUGAAGACAGGCUUAUCGCCUUACCGCGAUUGUACGGCGCGUUGCAGGUACGGACGGGUAAUGAUGCGACAGGCCACAGAUUUAGAGACUAUAGUUAACAAUAUCAAGCUUCCAUUUAUUCCAACAAGGAGAGAGAGCACUCUGUAUAGUACAAUUAUACAAGGUACGAUCGACAAUUAUCAAG
rnacentral:lncRNA from 1 species